rnacentral:lncRNA from 1 species
UGAGUAGAGUUUCUCUAAUUCAAAAUUCAAAUCUGAAAAAUACAAAGGCAGCACCUUAAUUUAUAGCCUAGAGGUGCUGAAAUGCAAAGCUAAUUAAAUUCAAAAUUCCCCCCAAAUACAUGAAAGUGGCGCCAAGCAUGAGGAAGGUGUGACUUCCUCUCUCACUUUGGCACCUCCCUAUUACUUCUACACCUCUCUACUAAACGCACACCCCCCUAAGACUCCUAAACUAAAGACCUAAAGAUGCUUUGACAAAAG